GCGGCGGACGGGUGAGUAUGUCGAACUGCUGAUGAGGGAUACUACUGAACGUAGCUAUACGAUAACGUCGCAGACAAGAGGGGACUUCGGGCCUCUGCCAUCAGAUGUGCCCAGAUGGGAUUAGCUAGUAGUGGGGUAACGGCUCACCUAGCGACGAUCCCUAGCUGGUCUGAGAGGAUGACCAGCCACACUGGAACUGAACACGGUCCAGACUCCUACGGGAGGCAGCAGUGGGGAAUAUUGCACAAUGGGCGCAAGCCUGAUGCAGCCAUGCCGCGUGUAUGAAGAAGGCCUUCGGGUUGUAAAGUACUUUCAGCGGGGAGGAAGGUGUUGUGGUUAUAACCACAGCAAUUGACGUUACCCGCAAAAAGCACGGCUACUCGUGCCAGCAGCCGCGUAUACGGAGGUGCAGCGUAUCGAAAUUACUGGGCGUAAGCGCACGCAGGCGGUCUGUCAAGUUCGGAUGUGAAAAUCCCCCGGGGCUCAACCUGGGAAACUGGCAUUCGAAAGCUUGGCAGGCUAAGUCUUUGGUACAAGGGGGGGGUAAAAAUUUCCAGGGUUUACCGGGUGAAAAUGNGUAAAAGAAUCUGGGAGGGAAAU
rnacentral:rRNA from 1 species